rnacentral:rRNA from 1 species
AACGUAGGGGGCCAGCGUUGCUCGGAAUUACUGGGCGUAAAGGGUCUGUAGGCGGUGCGGCAAGUCGGAAGUGAAAUCUGAGGGCUCAACCCUUAGACUGCUCCCGAAACUGCCGUGCGUAGAGUGCGAGAGAGGCGGGUGGAAUUGCAGGUGUAGCGGUGAAAUGCGUAGAUAUCUGCAGGAACAUCCGAGGCGAAAGCGGCCCGCUGGAUCGCAACUGACGCUGGAGAGACGAAAGCUAGGGGGAGCAAACAGG